rfam:Dipodomys ordii contig_31136, whole genome shotgun sequence.
GGUGGCUCAGUAGUAGAGCACUUGCCUUGCAUGCAUGAGGUCCUGGGUUCGAUUCCUCAGCACCA